UAAAAGUUUUAUUUAUGCUAUAAAAUUAGGUUUAAUUUUAAUUUAUAUGUAAAUUUGAGUUUUAAAUUGAAUUUAAAAAAUUCAAUUUUUAUUAGCAAUAAAUAAUUUUAAAUAUUAAAGAAAUUUAGAUUUAGUAAUAAUUAAGAAUAUUAACAAAUUUUGUGCCAGCAGUUGCGGUUAGACAAAAAAUAUAAUUUAAUUUUUUUAGUAAAAAUUAUUAUAAAUAUUUAUAAGAUUUAAAAUUAUAAUUUAUUAAGUGAAAUUUUAAAUUAUAGGAAAAAUUUAUUUAAGUUUAUGAAGUUUAAAAAUUUAAUUAUUAAACUAGGAUUAGAUACCCUAUUAUUUUAAAUGUAAAUUUGAAUACUAGAUUAGUAUUAGUUAUGAUCUUGAAAAUUAAAGAAUUUGGCGGUUUUUUAGUCUAUUCAGAGGAACCUGUUUUAUAAUUGAUAUUCCACGAUUAAAUUAACUUAUUUUAUUAGUUUGUAUAUCGUUGUAGAUUGAAUAUUUUAUUAGAAUAAUAAUGUUCAAAAUUUAAAAUAAUAAAAAAAAUCAGAUCAAGGUGCAAUUUAUAAAUAAGAAAAAAUGGGUUACAAUAAAUAUAUUUAUGGAUAUAAAAAUUUAAAUUUUGUUGAAAUUGGAUUUGAUUGUAAUUUUAAUUAGUUUAUUAAAAUGAUUUAGCUCUAAAUUAUGCACAUAUCGCCCGUCGCUUUCAUUCUAAAGUGAAAUAAGUCGUAACAAAGUAGAUUUACUGGAAAGUGAUUCUGGAUUGAU
rnacentral:ncRNA from 1 species